rnacentral:lncRNA from 1 species
CUCAGCUCAUUGCAACCGCCACCUUCUGGGCUCAAGCAAUCCUCUUACCUUAGCCUCCUGAGUAACUGAGACUACAGGCAUGCACCACCAUACCAGAAUUUGCUCUAUUCUCAAAGUUGCAAAAUGUCUGGGCACAGGCUGUGUUGCAUUUCUCACAUACAGUAUGAGCAGAGAAGCUUAUCCAUUCUGUUGCAGCAGGUCCAGAGAAGUUUCACUGAAGUGCUUUGGUUUUUAUUGAAUUGCAUGCUUAUUAUCUCUGGACAAGAAGAUGUGUACAUGAAAAGGAUGUUUUGAUAGGCCUGACCUGAGCUGUAUGCUCACAAUAAAAGCUAGAGACACAGUCAUUUGACAUUAAAACAACUGAGAAAAGGUGAUGAAUCUUGAGAAGAAAUUGGGAUAUUAUGUACAAAAGAGGUGUUAUAAUCGUUUAUGGCCAAAACGAAACC